GCUCCCUUAGCUCAGCUGGAUAGAGCAACUGCCUUCUAAGCAGUCGGCCGUAGGUUCAAAUCCUACAGGGGGCG
rnacentral:tRNA from 1 species